rnacentral:rRNA from 1 species
CCUACGGGAGGCAGCAGUGGGGAAUUUUGGACAAUGGGCGAAAGCCUGAUCCAGCAAUGCCGCGUGCAGGAUGAAGGCCUUCGGGUUGUAAACUGCUUUUGUACGGAACGAAAAGACUCUGGCUAAUACCUGGGGCACAUGACGGUACCGUAAGAAUAAGCACCGGCUAACUACGUGCCAGCAGCCGCGGUAAU